UACGUAGGGUGCAAGCGUUGUCCGGAAUUAUUGGGCGUAAAGAGCUCGUAGGCGGUUUGUUGCGUCGGCUGUGAAAUCCCGAGGCUCAACCUCGGGUCUGCAGUCGAUACGAGCAAACUAGAGUGUUGCAGGGGAGACUGGAAUUCCUGUGUAGCGGUGAAAUGCGCAGAGUAUCAGGAGGAACACCGGUGCGAAGGCGGGUCUCUGGGCAGCAACUGACGCUGAGGAGCGAAAGCGUGGGAGCGAACAGG
rnacentral:rRNA from 1 species